GGCUUAUCUGAAGGUAGUGAGUUAUCUCAAUUAAUUGUUCACAGUCAGUUACAGAUUGAACUCCUUGUUCUACUCUUUCUCCUCUUCUCACUGCUUCAUUUGACUAGUCUUAA
ensembl:misc_RNA Y_RNA Y RNA